AGCAGAGUCAGCUAAAUAAGCUCCUGGGCCCAUACCCCAACAAUGUAGGUUAAAUUCCUACCUCUACUA
rnacentral:tRNA from 1 species